rnacentral:miRNA from 1 species
UCCUUUAUUUGUCUGGAUCGGAUUG